ACCUGCCUCUUGGGGCUGUUGUCAACAUGAGAGGAGAUCGAGAGUGUGGGUGCUCACCCCGUGCACAGGGUCGGCUCUUGGAAGCUCAGAGAGGGGCAGCAGCUUGCCCAAGGUCACCUAGCAGGAGGGUGGAGUCGCUGGUCCCCAGCUCAGAAGCUGGGCUUUUUCCCGUAUGCUCGGCAGCCUCUCUGAGCUGGGUUCUGCUGAGCACAGUGCUCCCUGUGGCUGCCUCUCAGGCUGGGUCGGGGCAGGGGGUGGGGGUGGGGGAGAGAAGGUCACCAGCUCUCUCUCUACAGAGCAGGGUAAGAACCACUGCCUCUCCCCACCUCGGGAGGGUCUGCGAGUCUAGACAAACACAGGGGAGUGGCGGUGCCAGUUUUAGCUGCCUGGCCUCUGCGAGCUCUAAGGCUGCACCUGCUCCAUCCUGCUCAGGGGAGGUGCUGCUCUCUUCCUCCACCCAGGGAGGCCGUCGCCAGGUGACAGCAGCCUCCCUACCAGCCCCAUGGAGACCAGAUAGAUUUAUAAGAUCAAGUGUGUGACAACUGAAGGGGAGGAGCACAGUUGGGCACAGAUCUCUUGGUAUCACAGCACGGGGUUCCCCAGGAAAUGAAAGCUUGUGACGC
rnacentral:lncRNA from 1 species